rnacentral:piRNA from 1 species
CCUUAAGUCUCCUACUCACAAUGGCAGAUU